GAGUUUGAUCCUGGCUCAGGAUGAACGCUGGCGGCGUGCCUAAUACAUGCAAGUCGAGCGAACAGACGAGGAGCUUGCUCCUCUGACGUUAGCGGCGGACGGGUGAGUAACACGUGGAUAACCUACCUAUAAGACUGGGAUAACUUCGGGAAACCGGAGCUAAUACCGGAUAAUAUAUUGAACCGCAUGGUUCAAUAGUGAAAGACGGUUUUGCUGUCACUUAUAGAUGGAUCCGCGCCGCAUUAGCUAGUUGGUAAGGUAACGGCUUACCAAGGCAACGAUGCGUAGCCGACCUGAGAGGGUGAUCGGCCACACUGGAACUGAGACACGGUCCAGACUCCUACGGGAGGCAGCAGUAGGGAAUCUUCCGCAAUGGGCGAAAGCCUGACGGAGCAACGCCGCGUGAGUGAUGAAGGUCUUCGGAUCGUAAAACUCUGUUAUUAGGAAGAACAAAUGUGUAAGUAACUAUGCACGUCUUGACGGUACCUAAUCAGAAAG
rnacentral:rRNA from 1 species